AUUGAACGCUGGCGGCAGGCCUAACACAUGCAAGUCGAGCGAGCGGCGGACGGGUGAGUAAUGUAUGGGGACUGCCCGAUAGCGGGGGAUAACUACUGGAAACGGUAGCUAAUCCCGCAUACUAUCGGAUAACCCAUAUGGGAUUAGCUAGUAGGUGAGGUAAUGGCUCACCUAGGCGACGAUCCCUAGCUGGUCUGAGAGGAUGAUCCGCCACACUGGGACUGCGACUCGGCCCCGGCGCCUACGGAGGCAGCAGUGGUGAAGAUUGCACAAUGGGCGCAAGCCUGAUGCAGCCAUGCCGCGUGGAGGAAGAAGUCCCUAGGGUUGUAAAGUAGUUUCAGUCGGGAGUCGUUACCGACAGAGGAAGCAACGGCUAACUCCGGGCCAACAGCCGCGGUAAUAC
rnacentral:rRNA from 1 species